rnacentral:rRNA from 1 species
GUCCUAGCCGUAACGUUGGGCACUAGGUGUGGCGGACUCAUUGACGUCUGCCGUGCCGCAGCUAACGCAUUAAGUGCCCCGCCUGGGGAGUACGGUCGCAAGGCUAAACUCAAAGGAAUUGACGGGAGCCCGCACAAGCGGCGGAGCAUGCGGCUUAAUUCGAUGCAACCCGAAGAACCUUACCUGGGCUUGACAUCAUGGGAAAUCCCGCAGAGAUGCGGGGUGCGAAAGCGCCCAUGACAGGUGGUGCAUGGCUGUCGU